GCACGGGUGAGUAACGCGUAUGCAAUCUACCUAUAANGAAGGAUAGCCCAGAGAAAUUUGGAUUAAUACUUCAUAAUAAUAUUUUUUGGCAUCAUUAAAUAUUUAAAACUCCGGUGGUUAUAGAUGAGCAUGCGUUCUAUUAGUUUGUUGGUGAGGUAAAAGCUCACCAAGACUACGAUAGAUAGGGGGCCUGAAAGGGUGAUCCCCCACACUGGUACUGAGACACGGACCAGACUCCUACGGGAGGCAGCAGUGAGGAAUAUUGCACAAUGGAGGAAACUCUGAUGCAGCCAUGCCGCGUGCAGGACGACGGCCCUAUGGGUUGUAAACUGCUUUUUUACAAGAAGAAACCUUGGUACGGUACCAACUGACGGUAUUUAAGAUAAGCACCGGC
rnacentral:rRNA from 1 species